UACAGGCUUAACACAUGCAAGUCGAGGGGCAGCAUUUCACCUUUGCUUGCAAACUGGAGAUGGCGACCGGCGCACGGGUGAGUAACACGUAUCCAACCUGCCGAUAACUCGGGGAUAGCCUUUCGAAAGAAAGAUUAAUACCCGAUGGUAUAAUCAGACCGCAUGGUCUUGUUAUUAAAGAAUUUCGGUUAUCGAUGGGGAUGCGUUCCAUUAGGCAGUUGGUGAGGUAACGGCUCACCAAACCUUCGAUGGAUAGGGGUUCUGAGAGGAAGGUCCCCCACAUUGGAACUGAGACACGGUCCAAACUCCUACGGGAGGCAGCAGUGAGGAAUAUUGGUCAAUGGGCGCAGGCCUGAACCAGCCAAGUAGCGUGAAGGAUGACUGCCCUAUGGGUUGUAAACUUCUUUUAUAUGGGAAUAAAGUUUUCCACGUGUGGAAUUUUGUAUGUACCAUAUGAAUAAGGAUCGGCUAACUCCGUGCCAGCAGCCGCGGUAAUACGGAGGAUCCGAGCGUUAUCCGGAUUUAUUGGGUUUAAAGGGAGCGUAGGUGGACAGUUAAGUCAGUUGUGAAAGUUUGCGGCUCAACCGUAAAAUUGCAGUUGAUACUGGCUGUCUUGAGUACAGUAGAGGUGGGCGGAAUUCGUGGUGUAGCGGUGAAAUGCUUAGAUAUCACGAAGAACUCCGAUUGCGAAGGCAGCUCACUGGACUGCAACUGACACUGAUGCUCGAAAGUGUGGGUAUCAAACAGGAUUAGAUACCCUGGUAGUCCACACAGUAAACGAUGAAUACUCGCUGUUUGCGAUAUACAGUAAGCGGCCAAGCGAAAGCAUUAAGUAUUCCACCUGGGGAGUACGCCGGCAACGGUGAAACUCAAAGGAAUUGACGGGGGCCCGCACAAGCGGAGGAACAUGUGGUUUAAUUCGAUGAUACGCGAGGAACCUUACCCGGGCUUAAAUUGCAUUUGAAUAUAUUGGAAACAGUAUAGCCGUAAGGCAAAUGUGAAGGUGCUGCAUGGUUGUCGUCAGCUCGUGCCGUGAGGUGUCGGCUUAAGUGCCAUAACGAGCGCAACCCUUAUCUUUAGUUACUAACAGGUCAUGCUGAGGACUCUAGAGAGACUGCCGUCGUAAGAUGUGAGGAAGGUGGGGAUGACGUCAAAUCAGCACGGCCCUUACGUCCGGGGCUACACACGUGUUACAAUGGGGGGUACAGAAGGCAGCUACCUGGUGACAGGAUGCUAAUCCCAAAAGCCUCUCUCAGUUCGGAUCGAAGUCUGCAACCCGACUUCGUGAAGCUGGAUUCGCUAGUAAUCGCGCAUCAGCCAUGGCGCGGUGAAUACGUUCCCGGGCCUUGUACACACCGCCCGUCAAGCCAUGAAAGCCGGGGGUACCUGAAGUACGUAACCGCAAGGAGCGUCCUAGGGUAAAACUGGUAAUUGG
rnacentral:rRNA from 1 species